UUACAGGUUGGCCUGUAGUCUGAGACAAUAGUACUGCAGUGGUGGUUCAAUUUAUCCAGGUUUUCUAAUGAUAUGAGUAAAGGACAUCAGCGGAAGUGCUUCAGCCUUUUCAGGUUCUGACCUGGUUUGGGAAAAGUCUCUGCCUUCCAGAUGUUUCCUUAUUGUGAUGUCCCACCAACUCAGAACCCAACAUUCUUUCUACCUUGCACCUGAGCCAUCUCAAAAGGAUGAAAAACCUGAAGUCUCACCAUGCCAUGAUGUAUCCAGAUGAAUUUUAUAUUUGUAUUAAGAUUGUAAAAUGUUUUUAUUAAAUACACACACAGUU